UGGGGAAUAUUGGACAAUGGGCGCAAGCCUGAUCCAGCCAUGCCGCGUGAGUGAUGAAGGCCCUAGGGUUGUAAAGCUCUUUCACCGGUGAAGAUAAUGACGGUAACCGGAGAAGAAGCCCCGGCUAACUUCGUGCCAGCAGCCGCGGUAAUACGAAGGGGGCUAGCGUUGUUCGGAUUUACUGGGCGUAAAGCGCACGUAGGCGGACUUUUAAGUCAGGGGUGAAAUCCCGGGGCUCAACCCCGGAACUGCCUUUGAUACUGGAAGUCUUGAGUAUGGUAGAGGUGAGUGUAAUUCCGGGUGUAGAGGUGAAAUUCGUAGAUAUUCGGAGGAACACCAGUGGCGAAGGCGGCUCACUGGAACAUUACUGACGCUGAGGUGCGAAAGCGGGGGGAGCAAACAGG
rnacentral:rRNA from 1 species